CCUCCAACCCAGCACAUUUAUGAAAUCAUGUAGUGGUUAACCAAGACGUGUUUUUAAAGAAGAUGACUGAUGUUUAGAGUAUACUAUAAACUGAACUAGCUCUGAGAAUAUUUUCCCAAUGAAAGGUUUACUAGUUCCACUGGUGUUGCUGCUCUGUCAGUUAGGAGCACCUGAGAGCUUUCUAAGUGAAGACGCAUCCUCGGGCAAAAAGACAGCACUCCAACCUGACAUCUGGUCUGAGCUGAGAGAUCUGAGAGACAUGGUGGUGCUGCAGAGAGCAGAGCUGAGCCGCACCAUGGCUGAACUACGAGAUACUAAGAACCAGAUGGAGGGGCUAAAAACAGAGAUCUCAGUCAUGGAGUCCAGGCUGAUGAGUUCUGAAGGACAACUUGAGGCAAUGAAGACAGACAUGCAGCCAUAGUGAGCAGAGUAACAUCCGCUGAGAGUGAGGUUGAGAGACUACAGAAGGAGAAUGCAGGUAAAACAGAUAUGGAAUUAUGGUACUUUGUAAUAAUAUGUAAUGUGACUGAUUACUUUCUUCCCUUCCAUUUGUGAGUGUGAAAAAGUGAAUAAUCUACAUAUAUAUAUCGUUGUAUUCACCUCCAUUGAUAGAGAGACCUAAGGUCGCAUUUUCAACCUCUUUUGGAAAAACUGGACAGCAUGGGCCAUUCCACACUGCCACCACCGUGGUCUUCCAGAAUAUAUUCUCAAACACUGGCAACCACUACAACCAAGCUACAGGUACUGUACUGUCUUUGCUUAGUGUAGACCAUGUACUUAAAUACAUAUGCAUCUAAAGUUUAAAGAGCCUGAAUAACGAGUGAAGGCAGAUCAUUUUUGACAUCACCCACUGGGCACAAACUGGUUGAAUCAGCGUUGUUUCAACGUAAUUUGCCAAUGUAUUGUGACGUGGAAUCUAUGUUUAAAAUCAAAUCAAAUCAAAUGUAUUUAUAUAGCCCUUCUUACAUCAUCUGAUAUCACAAAGUGCUGUACAGAAACCCAGCCUAAAACCCCAAACAGCAAGCAUUGCAGGUGUAGAAGCACGGUGGCUAGGAAAAACUCCCUAGAAAGGCCAAAACCUAGGAAGAAACCUAGAGAGGAACCAGGCUAUGAGGGGUGGCCAGUCCUCUUCUGGCCGUGCCGGGUGGAGAUUAUAACAGCACAUGGCCUAGAUGUUCAAAUGUUCAUAAAUGACCAGCAUUGUCAAAUAAUAAUAAUCAUAGUAGUUGUCGAGGGUGCAACAGGUCAUUAACACAAGAGUAAGUGUCAGUUGGCUUUUUCAUAGCCGAUCUUUGAGAGUAUCUCUACCACUCCUGCUGUCUCUAGAGAGUUGAAAACAGCAGGUCUGGGACAGGUAGCACGUCCGGUGAAUAGGUCAGGGUUCCAGCAGGUCUGGGACAACAGGUCUGGGACAGGUAGCACUUCCGGUAAACAGCUCAGGGUUCCAUAGCUGCAGGCAGAACAGUUGGAACUGGAGCAGCAGCACGGCCAGGUGAACUGGGGACAGCAAGGAGUCAUCAAGCCAGGUAGUCCUGAGGCAUGGUCCUAGGGCUCAGGUCCUCCAAGAGAGAGAAAGAGAAAGAGAGAAUUAGAGAGAGCAUAUUUAAAUUCACACAGGACACCGGAAAAGACAAGAGAAAUACUCCAGAUGUGACAGACUGACCCUAGCCCCCCGACACAUAAACUACUGCAGCAUAAAUACUGGAGGCUGAGACAGGAGGGGUCAGGAGACACUGUGGCCCCAUCCAAAAUACAUUCGAUUUGCAAAAAGUCAUCAAAGUAAACUGCUGUUUUGAGGGUGACAUUUCAGCCACAAAUUAUGUUAUCAUGGUAACCAAUUUUCAACAUAGACAAACCUUGUAUAAAAUAUGUUACAUUUUUACCUUUACCUUUAAAACAACGUCAGCUCUUCAAUGUUAUAUCCAAGAAAAAAAACGAAUAAUAGGCCGGGCAACACUUCCUGGAGAGUUGAUUUACAGCUAUUCAUUUGGUCUCCCAUCCAGGGUUUUCUUUAUCGUGAGAAUGAUUAUUGAGAGAACUCUUACUAAUAACAAAACAUAUUCACUGUUGCUAUUAAAGUAAUUCCAAAGAGUAGGUUUAACAGAGCAAAUUAAAUGUAAACAUACCUUAUAAGUCAUAAAUCAUCAAUGAUACUAUUUAGGCCUUUAGAGCAUUCGCAAAAUCAUCAACAGCUAUUGUUUCAAUUCAACCCAGGGUUCAACUAAAAAUAAACAUAUGAUUUUCAUUUGGAUGUUUUCACUUAGGGGUGUACUCACUUUUGUUGCCAGCGGUUUAGACAUUAAUGGCUGUGUGUUGAGUUAUUUUGAGGGGACA
rnacentral:lncRNA from 1 species